AUGGAUAUGUUGUCUCUUUUAUUGGACAAUUGUCAUAACAAUCGAUUUUUUUUUAAAGGUUUUUUUUUGUUUUGUUUUGUUUUAUAUGGAGAAAAUGUGAACUCAGUUGAUAUUGUCACCUAUAAAGACAACAGAACACUUGGCUGUGAAGUGUGUUGGCCAUGGAUGGUGCAAGAAAACUGUUUGAAAAGAUGGUUAAUGAAAUGUCCUCUGCAAAUAUGUGGGUGUCUCGGGACUGAUUGCACCUUUGUUGUUACCAUGGUCACCGGUGUCUGUCUUCAGCUCGGCGUGCGAUCUGGCGACAGGGAUGUCAGUUGGAGGGAGCAGCCCUGCGCGUUAUACCUGUCUCCAUCACAAGCACCAUCAGAACAGUGGAGGAUGCUAACGGCCUCACUGAUGAAGACCAGGACCCAGCUGGAGUUCCUUGCACAACAGCUGGACUGCGCAGAGCCUGAAAAACCAGCCAAGCACAGAUGGAUGAUUUAUUAUUCGGAAAGAAAAGGGAAGAAAGACUCUCCGAGGUAUUGAUUUAUGCAUUCCCUCUCAUCUACAUCCAUCCAGUGAGUGAUUGAUAGUUUUCAUUACUUUCUAAAGCCAGUCGAGCGAGACCAGAAGGGUUAAAGGUCAGUAAGACCCACUAUGGAUACUUACCAGCAGGACCAUGCUGCCAGGCCUGGAUCAAUUCCUGACCUGGAUUAAUCGAAUGACACACCAGCCUUUGAGGGAGGAGCGAGGAAGGCAUUCACAACACCCGGCCCACACGACAAUUACACAUCUGAUUGACCAUAUAAAUGUGCCACAAAUAUCGAAUGUUUGAUCCAAACAGGAGCAGAGUAAACUUAGCAACUCAUGUUAAAACCACAUGCAUAAUACACAGUAAUAUUUUGUUAUUAUUUAGACAUACCUGCGUAAAUAGACAAACAAAAGAUUCAAACUCACCCUUUUUUCCAGCAAUUUCAACAUGUUGCAUGUAGUCGUCCGACAUUAUUGUCCAAUCCCUUUGGGGAUUAACUACACACUACAGGAAAAUAACAUUCUCAUAUUCAUUUACUCUGUGUUCAUUUAAUGAAUUUGAAAAGCCAACAAUUACUAGAUGUUUGAAUAUUUUUAUCAGCUGGAUAUUGUAUAUCUCUUACAUGGUGUGUCAGUAGAAUUUGUUUGAUGUAACAAUGACUUUAAUGCUGCCUAUGCCUAUGCAUAGAUCCUGAUGGAAAAUAAUCUUGCAAAUUUAAGGGACUGAUAUCUAUGAGUGUGUGCAAUUUGGUAGAGAUGAAAAUCUGGAUCAAGCGGAUUUAAUUGUGGUUUCAUUUUCGGCAAUGGAGAUUAUGAUUUCAUAACCUGCAUUGUUUUGUUGGCUUAGCUACGAGGCUUGAUUGAAUGCAAGGGGACUGUUUGGCCUUUUGGUUCACUUUCACUGCUGUUAUAAUAAUAAUAAUAAUAAUAAUAAUAAUAAUAAUAAACUUUAUUUAGAAAUAUACAUAGUGCAGCAUUGCAGUUUAUGAGCCGGUUAUUUCCAUUAAGUGUUAGUGGGGACCACUAUCAUCAGGCGCCAAAAGCAUGAGUGAAUUAAAGUUGCUCUGUAACUGUUGGGCAUAUCAAUGGGUAACUGAAAUCUCAGUCAGUGUAUGUUCUCAUGCUAUAAGCAAGUAUUUGUACAGUAUUUGGGUUUAACCACUGCUAUCACUUCACCUGCAAACACCAACAUUCCACUCUGCUCAUCUUUACUCAGCCUUGAUAUUUUGAGUGAUCUUCGUGAGACACAAGAUUAAAAAAAAACAAAAAAACAGCAGCUAUUUGGCACCACUGUGAGGCUUCUCCCUUCGACAGCUCUGAAGUAAACAUCCACAGAGGUGUGAGAGCCUGUCGACCUGUUUGCCUUCUGUGUCGCUGACGUGUUUUCCUUGAUGUCGGCUGAAAGUCAGUACACAGCCGAGCCGGUAAGCUGUUUUUAGAUUCUAUUGGCUAAAUAAUAUUGGAUCAAUCGGGGGAGACCUGCAAGACAGCAGGUUGAUUAAAUUCAUUUUGAGAAUUAUGUAACAACAAAAACAGUGUCAAUAUUUGGUUAAUGUUGAUUUAUUAUUUAACCGUUAUCACUUUGGAUUUGGCUGAAAUCAAACACAAGCUUGAGUAGCAGAGUCAUUUGCCCAUAGACUCACAGGGACACAGGGUCCAGUCACAGCGACUUUCACAUUGACUUUCUUCAGCUGAGGUUUUGAUGUGAGUGACCAUAAAGCCUCUGGAGGUUCACACGCUGCCGGGACGAUUUUCCCGCCGAGGCCCUUUUCAGGUUCAUUGACUCAAACUGCAAACCCUCUGCACACACUUUACGCCAUGACCAUGAGAGUUAAACAUCUGCUGUUUUAUCUUGAAAAGAUGAUCAUUAAAAUGCCAGACACUGGGAGUGCGUUUUGUUCUCA
ensembl:lncRNA